UGCGGCUGGCCUGGGGCGGUUUUCAACGGCGUUAAAAGCGCCGGGCGUGAAAAAAUAGAGAUAUUUAUCACUUUUUUCUUCACGACGCACUGGACAAAAGGCGCAGCAAUUGCUGUACUUAACCCCGACACAGUUUAGUGUCCAUUUUUCAUGUAAAGGUAAUAUAGAUGUCCAAGAUCAAAGGUAACGUUAAGUGGUUUAAUGAGUCCAAAGGAUUCGGCUUCAUUACUCCGGAAGAUGGCAGCAAAGACGUAUUCGUACACUUCUCUGCUAUCCAGAGCAAUGGUUUCAAAACUCUGGCUGAAGGUCAGCGCGUAGAGUUCGAAAUCACUGACGGCGCAAAAGGCCCAUCUGCUGCUAACGUUAUCGCUCUGUAAGUUAACAGUCAGAAUUUUAAAAACCCGCCUUCAGGCGGGUUUUUUUUG
rnacentral:other from 1 species